rnacentral:lncRNA from 1 species
UAUAAAACGUUUAGAUAGCCCUUAUUUAUGCUGACAAAUAAAAACAAAAAUAGUCCGUGUAUCUUGAAAAGUUUUCUAAGUGUGUAGGUAAAGUGGUGUAGCCAUGGAAACGAGGAGGAAGCGGCAGUUAAAGUCACCUGAUGAUUUUCAACGUUUUUAGUGAGCAGCAAGACACGUUGAGAGAGAGAGCUGUGAACAUCUUUGACCAUCUUUGAUCAUAUUUGAACAUCUUUGACCAUAUUUGAUCAUAUUUGACCAUAUUUGAGCAUCUUUGAUCAUAUUUGAACAUCUUUGACCAUCUUUGACCAUCUUUGACCUGAGAAAGGAGCAAAAACGUUACAAAACACAGUUAAAAGUCAUCAGAACUUCAGACCAAGACCAGAAAAGGACAUUUGAAGACCAGGAGAUCAGAAAAAAUCUGGAGAAUAUUUUGUGGCCUAUAUCGAUCAGCAAGAUGUGGGCCCCAGAACAGCACGUUCAGCCUGAACAGACAUCUUCAACCUUCACUGACGGCCAAUACGGGGCUCCAAACUUUGAAGACCUGACAACCAUCAAUGCCUUUUCUAUCCUAGAGUACUGGUACCAACAAAGUCCUUGUCCCAAAACCGUCACCUCCAUUCCUAAUAUUGUGCACAUGGAGGCCCAACAAUAUACUGACCUCCAACCCUUUAUUCCCCCGCCUGCUAUGACAUAUAAUGAACUUCCAGUAUACACUGCAGGGAUGAAUCCACUUCCCACUUUUGGAGGACAGAAUGAAAACGACUGUUUAAUAAUUGUGCAACCAGUACCCCCAGCACCCCCAGCACCCCCAGUCAAUGCUCCAGUCUCAAAAAAGGUGAAGAAGCCUAAGGAGGUGAAGGUGGAAGAGGGGCCGCAUAUAAAGAAGCCCCCCAAUGCCUUCAUGCUCUUUCUCAAAGAGCACAGGAAGUCUGCAGAAGAAGAACUUGGUGUGAGGACGAGCAGUGUAGUCAACAAACUCCUCGGUGAACUGUGGAAGUCAUUUUCAUCAGAAGAAAAGGAUCAGUAUAAUACUAAGGCCAAAUAUUAUGCUUUGCUCCACCACGAGCAGAACACCGGCUGGACCAACAAACAGAACUAUGCAAAGAAAAGGAAACAAAAUCGGACGGUGAUUAAGACAGUGGGCGUGUCCACGUGUCCGACAUAUUACCCCUGAUACGACAGGUGACACUGGAACUGUCACGAUGGGGUUUUAUUUUGGAGGGCAGGCAGGAACUCUGGGCCUUCCUCCCAGCAGCCUUCUCCUGAUUGGCCACCAGCUGCAAAUAAUUAACUGCUUAGAUAAAUAGGGAGGCUGUGCUGCAGCUCAGGGUUGGGACAUUACUUGUGCUGUGACUAUUGGUUCUUGGGUUUGCUUUUGUUGUUUUUUGAUUACCUCUGCCUCCCUGGACUGACCAUAACUGUGGUAACAAUAAAUCUUGGGAUGAUGC